rnacentral:lncRNA from 1 species
CCUACCAUGCACAGAAAGGAAAAAUUUGGUGUCCAGGGCCUUCUGAAUCAGACCUGGAAAAGCUCUUAAUUAGCUUAUGGAUUCAGGAAACUGCGGAUAGAGUCACUGAAGAGGUUGAGACAGUAGAGGUGUGAAAGAGGAACAGUACAGAAAUGUGGGACUGAACUUGGCUGCUCCAUUCAGAUGGUCCAGGGGUUUAGAGUGUCAAGAGCCAAGGGCAAAAAAGAAGGAGAAGUCUGGAGUUGGCAUAAUUCAAGAUGCAGCCAAAUGUGGAACUAAGGUGGGUUCAGUGGGGACCAGGGAAGGCCUCAUGGCCCCAGUCCACAAUUGUGCCCCAACCCCGGCAAUGAAACUCACGCAUAUGCACAAACGCACAUCAACAAACACACAAAAACACACAGAGCAAAUA